rnacentral:snoRNA from 1 species
AUUCCAUGAUGGGGACAUUCUAGGAAGUAGUCUUGAAAGCGCUCCCAUGCCUCUGGAACAGAUUCAUCAUUUUGUUGCUGAAAACUUGUAAUCUUCCCACGGAGAGC